AACUUACACUUUAUUCUUUUAAAAAAUAAAAAAUAUUCACAGGGAGUACGCUGUGAUGAAAUGACCAAAUUACUUCUCAUCUUCUUCAGGGUGGGCGUGGACGGAGAGGUGGACGAGGGUGAGGGUGAGACGGCAAAGGCCAGCGAGAGCGCGUGUGUGGGCAUGAACAGAAAGAUGGGCGAGGACGAGGUGGCGCGGCGGAGGAUGAGAAAAGAGGACGAUUUCAGGAAUAUUUUGGAUAUAAAAAAAUAGAAUAUAAACGAAAUCCUAACGGAACACUAACGGUAAGAAUCAAAGUGAACAUUUUUUAUUUUUUAAGAGGGCAAAACGUAUUAUUUUCGAUUGACAGAGAAAAAAAGUAAAAAAAGGGAUAUUGACAGGGGCUUUUCU
rnacentral:lncRNA from 1 species